UAUUGCGUUGUCUUUGAUCAAAGUUCAAAAUUAAUUCUGUUUUUGUUCUUGUAGUUUAAUGGCAUUCAGCAUACGAGAGCUGUGCGAUGUUGAGUAUAAAUUAUUCUAUAAGUUGAGUAAUUUUGGUGUUUAUCAAAAUUAUUAGGAGCUGCAUAAGAAAUUCCCGAGAGAUCGGUCGUCACUCUUAUUAAUAUCCAAAAUGGGAAUUCGUUCAGUCGUUAAUGGCGAUGGCCGUGAUGACACUCAAGUUUUCAUCAAAGGUAGUAGUGAAACAAGUGAGGUAACGAGUUUUUGUUGAUCUAAAUUUAAAAUAGAACUCAGAUCAGUACAAAAAAUUAUUGAACUGCUACAGUAAGAGAUAAACACGUCAAAUCGUACCCUCCAGAAGAGAUACUAUCCAACAUCAAGAUUGAGCCCGAGUACAGCGAACGGGAGCUACAGAUAGCCCUCAAGAAAGCAUGGAGACUGAAGCUGCAGGAGGCUGUUACAGAAUCAAAGAACAGUGUAGAAAAGGUGGCAGAGUUGGUACUGGGGAGAAACUCAGAAGGAAACAUGGAAGGUAGUUUCAUUGUGCUGAAUGCUACCGCAGAAUUCUGCCAUACGUUGGGUGACACCCCCAUUUAUGGUCUGGCUGGCAACAGGGAUGAGGACACUCAGGAACUACUUAGAUGAUGAAAAGUUUGGGCAUCGCGAGCGCUACAGUGGUCUGACCUCAGACUUCAAAGAAAAGGAGGCUACAAACCAAAUGUUAAACUGAACUACAUAGAUGAUGAUGGACACUUACUUAAUGCAAAAGAGGCUUUCAGAUACCUGUCUCAUAAACUUCAUGGAAAGGGACCUACAGAAAUAAAGUAGAGAAACGAAUGAAGAAGAAUGAACAGGAAGGAUUGAUCUCAAGAGAUACCCCACUUGGAACGCUUAGCGUCUUGCAGCAGCAGCAGAAGGAAACAGUCUCCAUUCAUGGUCCUUAGUGACAGUAAACAAACAUGAAUAUGCUUUUUGUCUGCCACUGAUUCAAUUCAUUCAAAAGAACAGCCAGUUCUAACAAAGAGAAAGUAAUUGUAUUCAUUACCUGACAGACUUAGACAUGAAAACACAGAUUACUAGAUGAAACCAGUCAACUCAAUUAAAAAUUUGUCUUAUCAUGACAUUACAAAUAACAGUAAUUCAUAGCUUUAACUUAAAGGCUGAGUAGAUGAGCCAUCAUAUAGUAAUGUUGAUAAUGUCAUUUAGUGAUUAUACUGCUGCAAAGUAAAUAUUUGUUUUUCUCUGAGCAUGUCACUUGUCUUGUCAUAUCAUCUCAGCUGUAGACCAUAAAGUGUCAUUUUAAUGAUAGAUUGAUGAAUAAGACUUUCCUCCUUGGUAUGCUGAAGUUUUACUAAAAAUUUCUGUAUUUGAUGCAGAAUAUGAAAUUUAAUUUUCAAAAUAAAACCAGCUGUGAGGUUUUUGUGAAAUCUGCUAGUUUAACAUGAGCAUUACUACAUUUUCUUUGUUUCUUUCUUUUUCAGGGCAACCAUCUCAAAAACAAAACUGCAGAUUCUUCAUGAAAUAUGCUGGCACCAACUCUGAAAUUUAGUGUGGACUUAUAUUUUUAUUGUUUGUUACUUUCUGGAAUAUCAUCUCUAUUUUUAAGUAAGACACAGCUUGCAGCUGCCAAUAGUGCCUGUAUGUACUGGAAGGAAGGCCACAGAGUUCAUAUCAUAUUCAAAUGAGUACAGUGGUUCUCCUGUGCCAGCUGUUGGCACCUGUAAGCUGAAAAGUACAAUUUCUAGUGAGUAGUUGCUUGCUUAUAGGACUUGAGCCAGAUGAACAGCCUCUGAACUAAACUGGACAUGAAGUAAUUAUAUAUGCCCUUUCUUGAUUUCAAUAGCAAUAUUAUAUCCUUCCAAAAGAUGAAAUAAACCCUUGUUCAGUGAUAGGCCAGUAUGAAAAGCCGUAAAAUUAUACAAGCAACAGAAUCAGAUGUACACUCUACUGCAAAUUAUUGUAAAGCACCACUGAUAUAUAAUUGAAACAUUUGUAAUGGGUUAUAAAAGUAACUUGGUUCAUCCUGGUCCAUCACACUAGUAAUUGUAUAUAAGCUUUGUAACCACCGUCCAGUCUGAUUAAUAAAAGUUGUUUCUAAUUUUCAUCCUUUACAUGUUUUGGUCAAAACGACCAUCUUCAGAAGGAUAUUAUCAACACACAUGGAAGCUACUGUUACCAUGUCAUACAUAUAAAUUUUGUGUCUCUUAACUAAUAUAUUAGGAUGUAUAUUGAUUUGUUAAAACAUCUAACAAUUAUUACAAUUAGUCUGUUUACAAAAUAAUGUUCAAUAUUUGUUUUAAUCUAGAACCAAAUUGGUUGAUGUUACACUUCUGUAAUGAUUUUAGAUUCUUAACAAAUAAAUGUACAUCUUACUAUUAGUUAAAAAAUCAUAACAUUUAUAUCUAUGACGUGGUAACAGUAGUUUUCAUGUGUGUUGAUAAUAUCCUUCUGAGACAUGUAAAGGAUGAAAUAUUAAAAACAACUUUUAUCACAAACAGUGGACGAUGGUUAAAAAUCUUACAUAUAUAAAGAAAGUAAAGCUAUCCCUGUAAGAGGCCGUGAAGGCCCAUAGGGUUGUGAAACAUUUA